AUUGAACGCUGGCGGCAUGCCUUACACAUGCAAGUCGAACGGUAACAGGUCUUCGGAUGCUGACGAGUGGCGAACGGGUGAGUAAUACAUCGGAACGUGCCUAGUAGUGGGGGAUAACUAAUCGAAAGAGUGGCUAAUACCGCAUGAGAUCUACGGAUGAAAGCAGGGGAUCGCAAGACCUUGUGCUACUAGAGCGGCCGAUGGCAGAUUAGGUAGUUGGUGGGAUAAAAGCUUACCAAGCCGACGAUCUGUAGCUGGUCUGAGAGGACGAUCAGCCACACUGGGACUGAGAAACGGCCCAGACUCCUACGGGAGGCAGCAGUGGGGAAUUUUGGACAAGGGGCGCAAGCCUGAUCCAGCAAUGCCGCGUGCAGGAUGAAGGCCUUCGGGUUGUAAACUGCUUUUGUACGGAACGAAAAGCCCCGGGUUAAUACCCUGGGGUCAUGACGGUACCGUAAGAAUAAGCACCGGCUAACUACGUGCCAGCAGCCGCCGUAA
rnacentral:rRNA from 1 species